ACACAUCAUCCACACAAUGAGGUUAUGCCUCCGAUCAAGACCAUGUUAGGCAUCACAGGCCUCGGAUACUCAAACACAAAGUCGUAUUUCAUAAGCCAAAUAGAUGCAUGGCUUAAAAGUUCAAGCAGUGUUGCCUCUUGUUGAAGGAAUUCUUUGAUCAAAUGAUCAUACGGUGAAUAAAGAAAGCUACAGGUUAGGGUACUGCUCAAGCUAACUAGGAGGUUGCCCAGGCGCUGGAAGAACCCCAUACGAUCUGUGUAGUGCGUGAAGAACCUGGGAAUGUAGGAGGGAGGAUUUGGGCAGAGGGUAGCAUGGAAGUCCAGGCUGCACGGCAGUCCCCGUACGAGGUACACAGAAGGUAUGGAGAGAUGUUCAGCCACUAUCUGUCCACAGGGAAAAAAAGGAUCCAUAAGGACACCAUCAAACAUGCUUUCUUCAAGGUAUUUCAUCAGCUCUUUGUUAGAAAGAAGCCUUUUGCAGGAAUCAAAAAACAUCGUUGUAAUAUUCGUUAUUUUUGAGAAUUUUUCCAAGAAAGUUUGAGGUGUGAAACUCUUAUAGCCAAGCUUUUUAAAUUCUGCCUCCACAAACUCUCUGGUGUAAGACACAGAGUAUGUUUUCAUGCUAUAAUGCAUCGACGCACCUAUUCGCAAAUUUAUCUCUGGAGCAACAACCACAAUUUCAUGUCCUCUAUGUCUGAGCUGCUCCACAACCAGGCGCAUGCUAAGCCAGUGACUGCCAUCAAUAGGGAUAACCAAAAGCUUCCCACCUUCAGAAAAGAUCCUCAGGAGCAGGAGAAUCACAGCCCAGGAGGCAAGAAAAUGAAAUCCUGGAUGUGAAGAGGCCAUUUCCCUUCUGUAGAAUGUCGGCAAUGCUUUAUGUGGAUGCAGAGAUCCCGAAAGCAACAAAGAAUGACUUGUACUUUGCUCUUCCAUCUUUGCUAAGGUUUUUCCCUUGUGGAGGAAUGCUGGGAAAGAAGGAGUACUUGUUCAACUGGGACUCAAGGCUGAGAGAAAAAUAGCCACCUCAUCCACACCUGAAAAUUGCUUUCUGUAAAAGGGCGAUUCACACAAAGCAGAAACACACUAUGAGAAGCAGCAUCCAUGAAAUCAACGAGAGGAGGGAGAGGUUUGCAAAGCAAGAAUUGCCACAAGUUCUUGCUGCUGUAUAAAGUCAAGAGCAGAAUCUGGCAUAGGAUAUUGGUUCUUCAACCAACAGACGGUAACAGAAGGUUCAUAAGCACAGGUUCAACCUCUAAGUAAACACAAAUCUGAAAGAACAAACUAAGAGUUUCACAGAUAACCAUAACAGUGCUCCCAUAGACAAAAAAAUCAUCUGCUGUUCUCACCACCUUUUAUAUUCCCUACCUCUAUCAAAGAAUUCUUCAGAUGCUGGCAGAAGGGAUUUUGGGUGUGCUCCAGAGCAGCAAGAAUAGAUUCAGACUUUCUACACAUUUACGUAGAUGUCAUCUGGGAUAUAUCUGUUCUAUCCACAGUUUUUAUAUUGUGUCUUCACCAAAACAAGUACUGGCAACUCUUGGUAAGUGAAAAGAAGCUUGAGCCUGUUUACACAGUUAAAAAAAGCUUUGUAACUAAUCGAUACAAAAUUCUAUACUGAAAAUAAUAGUUUAGGAGAAAAAAAACAAACCAAAACCUAGAGUAUCACCCAUGUGAGAUAGCUUUUCAUGAGUGUAGGUUAUUCUUCCAGUUAUGAUCAUGUUUGGCAUCAGUGUUCUUGGAUAAGGGAACACAAAGUCUAAUCAUAAAAGCCAAAUAGAUACCUUGCGUAAGAGAUCUAAUACAGUCACAUGUUUUAGAAGAGUUACCCAGAGCCAAUUAAAUUUGAAAUACUUCAUCUUGUUAAUGAGAUAUUCAGUAUCUUCACUGAGUCAAGUACUGGCAGCUCUUGGUAAAGAAAAAGCAGCUUGAAAUCCUUUUGCCAUCAACAGAUAAAAGAGACUUUCCAACAAAACCUGUGUUACAACACAUCUGUGUACCUAAAAGCCCAGAAGAAUGGCAGUAAAAAAAAACAGAUGACCCACCUGAGUUAGCUUCUUGUGGGCACAAUUUACUCCACUAACCAUAAUCAUGUUGGGCAUCAGUGGUCUUGGAUAGUGUAAAACAAAGUCUAAUUUAAUGAGCCAAAUGGAAGCCUUGCUUAAGAGACCUGGCACAGUCACAUCAUGCUGAAGAAACUCAGAAGCCAGCUUUGCGUAUGGUUGGAACACAACAUCACAUAGAAAAAAAUUUGAUAUUGAAAAGAUGACAUUCUCCACACGCUGGAGGAAGUUCAUGUGGUCUGUAUUGUCUGUAAAUAUCCUGGGGAUGUAAGAAGGGGGAUUUGGACACUGAGUGGCUUCAAAUUCUAAGCCACAUG
rnacentral:lncRNA from 7 species